rnacentral:rRNA from 1 species
ACCAGGUCUUGACAUCCUCUGACACUCCUAGAGAUAGGACUUUCCCCUUCGGGGGACAGAGUGACAGGUGGUGCAUGGUUGUCGUCAGCUCGUGUCGUGAGAUGUUGGGUUAAGUCCCGCAACGAGCGCAACCCUUGAUCUUAGUUGCCAGCAUUCAGUUGGGCACUCUAAGGUGACUGCCGGUGACAAACCGGAGGAAGGUGGGGAUGACGUCAAAUCAUCAUGCCCCUUUAUGACCUGGGCUACACACGUGCUACAAUGGAUGGUACAAAGGGCAGCGAAGCCGCGAGGUGGAGCCAAUCCCACAAAACCAUUCUCAGUUCGGAUUGCAGGCUGCAACUCGCCUGCAUGAAGCCGGAAUCGCUAGUAAUCGCGGAUCAGCAUGCCGCGGUGAAUACGUUCCCGGGCCUUGUACACACCGCCCGUCACACCACGAGAGUUUGUAACACCCGAAGUCGGUGGGGUAACCGUAAGGAGCCAGCCGCCUAAGGUGGGACAGAUGAUUGGGGUGAAGUCGUAACAAGGUAGCCGUAUCGGAAG